GGGGAUGUCCUGGUGAGACAUCUAGAAAUAUUAGAUUUUGGCUAUGUGUGUGUGUUUGUUCUUGGUUAUCGUAACAGAGAAAAACAGAAUAUCUCUGGCAUCUAAUGGGCAGGGGCCAGGAAUCCUGCUGAACAUUCUUAUGACACACAGGGCAACCCCCUCAUAGGAAACAAUGAACUGACACAAAAUGUCAACAGCCCAGUAAUGCCAGUGCUGAGAUACCAUGCUGCCAUGUGAAGUGGGAGUCAGUGAGAACAGCAAGCAGGAGCAACACCUAAGGCCAGAUCAGGAUGAUGUAAACAAACACUGAUUUCAGGACGGGAAGAAAUAUGGGCAAGCAUGGAAGAAGAUAAUGAAUCUAGAUAGUUAUUCCUGGAGAAGUGCCUUAAAAGGAAGAAUCUGACAAUUGCAGAUUUCUUAUGGAUGUAGCUCUUGUGGAACUGCUGCCAAUUCCUGCAGUCCAGUCCCCUGAAAUUAUGGCAGCUAAUGAAUACUUAGAAAACAUAAAGUUCAGAAGCCUGUCAAAUGACUGUACAAUUUGAUGUAUCAAUGUGUACACUGUAGGAAAAACGUAUAUGUUAAAGCCCUGCCAAGGACUGGAUUCAUCUAUACAUGCUACAAAAUCUAUAGUUGUAAUUUAUUCAUUCAAUAGGUGCUGCCUAUGUGCUGGCCACCAUGUUGAGUCAUAUUCACAGCCAUGUAUCUCCAUUACUCAAUAGUUC